rnacentral:rRNA from 1 species
UAAAAAUUUAAGGGUAUAUGGUGGAUGCCUUGGGAGAUUGAGGCGAUGAAGGACGUGGCGUAGCUGCGAUAAGCCUCGGGGAGGUGCGUAGCAACCUUUGAUCCGGGGAUUUCCGAAUGCGUCAACGCGUUCUGGCGACAAGCCAGUUCACCCGCCCAAAUUUUUAAGCUUUUGAUUUCUUUACUUUCCUGGACAAUAAAUAAAAGAAAAAGAGCGCAGCUUACUGUGCCCCUUCCGUCAUCAGGUCUUUACCUGACAGCACCGCCGAAUUUGGUAAUUCAGCUUAUUAUUAUAAUAGCAUGUUCAAAGAGCAAAGAGCUUUGUCAAGAGCUUUUAAAAAUUUGGGCGGGAGCGAACCCGCUGAAGUGAAACAUCUCAGUAAGCGGAGGAAAAGAAAAAAAUGCUUCGCUUCGCUCAUUGUAGCGAUGCCAAUAUACGAAUGCAUACCAAUGAUACGAAUAAUAAAAAUCCGUAGUCAUUAGUAUAAUUAGCAUCAAUUAGUAUAUUAGUAUCGAUAUAGCGAGCGGAGCGAGCGUAUUCCCUUAGUAGCGGCGAGCGAAAAGGGAAAAGCCUAAACCGAGCACUCAAUUUGCACCGCGCUUCGCGCGAAAUUCUUGAAGACAGUGCAAAUUGAGUGCUCGGGGUUGUAAGAGAGUAGCAUCCAAAUCGUUCGUGCCUCACUAUUGUUCGGCACUCACUUGAUAAAAAUCUAAAAAUUUAAAAAUAUAAAAAUUUAAAACAAAUAUUUUUAAUUUUUUAAGUUUUUAACAGCGAGUGGCGAGCGAUAGCGAGGCGCGAGCGCAUGGGGGAGAAUAAAAAGAUGGAACUUCGUUAGCCGAAUAUUACUGGAAAGAAUAACCAUAGGGGGUAAUAGUCCCGUAGGCGAAAACGGUUCCAUGCUCCAAAUCGCUCCUCACUUUCGUUCGGAAACAUCAUGAUGCAAAUAUGCGAAUUUUAUGCGAAUGAUGCGAACUGCUGAUAAUAUAUUCGCAGUCUGUAGAUUUGCCCCGUUAGAGAAUUGAGAGCGUUUAUUAUUCUGAUAGAGCUCAAUUUUUUUAACAUCAUUAUUGAUUUUGGAUUACACAUUGAUUUCUCUAACGGGGUGAGCAUUAGAUUUGUAGAUUUGCAUUAUGCUGGAGCAACGAGCGGAAGCGAGGAGCGAUGGCUGCUUUAGGAAGUUCAAUUUCUGGUUUCAGGGAUUGAGCUUCUAUUCUUGAGUACUGCGGGAAAUGAAAGCCCCGCAGGAAGCAGGCCGGACUAUUGGCCAAGGCUAAAUACUCAAUCUCACCGAUAGUGAACAAGUACCGUGAGGGAAAGGUGAAAAGUAGCCCGGUGAGGGCGGUGAAAUAGUACCUGAAAUCAUAUACCCACAAAGACUCGGAGGUCCUGUCUACGACAGGACUACGGAUUUACGCUGAUAAAUAGCCGAUUUUCGCUGAUAAAAUCAGUGAAAAUCAGUUUUUAAUCGGUGGUAAUCAGUGGUCCCGCCGUAGGCGGGACUGACGGGGUGCUUUUUGCAGAACGAGCCAACGAGUCCGAGCACUCAACUUAUCUAAGUCUUUUUAGGAUGAAGAUAUAGGGAAACCGAGUGUUAAUAGCGCGUGCGGCUUUUGCCGUAUGUUGAGUGCUCGGGACCCGAAGCCAAGCGAGCUUACCAUGGUCAGGAUGAAUCUCGUCGAAAGGCGGGAGGAGGUCCGUACCCACCAGCCGUGCAAUACUGGGGGAUGAACUGUGGCAAGAAGUGAAAAGCUAAUCGAGCUUGGUAAUAGCUGGUUCUCCCCGAAAUAGCUUUAGGGCUAGCGCUCCAAUAAAUUAAGAUACCUGGGGGUAGAGCACUGGAUGGAUUAUUUUGAGCUUUGCUUAGAUAAUCCAACUAAACUCCGAAUACCAGAGUAUCUAACGGAGCAGUCAGACUGUGGGGGCUAAGCUCCAUGGUCAAAAGGGAAACAGCCCAGAUCGUCAUCUAAGGUCCCUAAAUCUAAGUUAAGUGGUAAAGGAGGUGCUUCGACUUUGACAGACAGGAUGUUGGCUUAGAGGUAGCCAUCAUUUAAAGAGUGUGUAACAACUCACUGUUCUAUCGUUCGUGCCUCACUAAUGUUCGGCACUCACUUGAUAAAAAUCUAAAAAUUUAAAAAUAUAAAAAUUUAAAACAAAUAUUUUUAGAUUUUUAAUUUUUUAAGUUUUUAACNNNNNNNNNNNNNNNNNNNNNNNNNNNNNNNNNNCUUAGUACCGAAGAUACGAAGCGCGCUUCACUUUCGUUCAGCGCUAAUAUCAAAUAUAAAAUAUAAAAAAUAAAAAACAAUUCAAAAUUUUCUUUCAGAAAAUUUUGAUAGGAAAUAUUUUAUAUUUUAUUUUUAAUUUUUUAUUUUAGCGCCGAGCGGUAGCGAGGCGCGCUGGUAGGGGAGCGUCCUUAUUGCCGUGAAGUCAAAUCGUAAGAUUUGGUGGAGUGAUAAGGAGUGAAGAUGUUGGCAUGAGUAAUCGCAAUCCCGAUGCGAUAUCGGGACACCGUAAACCCAAGGUUUCCUUGGCAAUGGAUAUCAGUCAAGGGUUAGGCGGGCCUAAUCUUGUCAGUGAAAACUGGCGGGAAAUGGACAGUCGGUUAAUAUUCCGACCCACCCGUUAGAUAAUUUUCAAAAUGACGAAGAGUAGUACUUUGAGCGUAUUAUUGGAUUUACGUUUGCAACAUAAGAUUUUUUCAAGUGUUGUGAAGAUUUUUUCCUUCGGGAGAAGAAAUUCAAAGGAGCAUUCUUCCUAGAAAAGUUUUGAUUAUACUAUCUAAUGGGUUCCGUACCGCAAACCGACACAGGUGGGUGAGGCGAGUAGCCUAAGGUGAACGGGUGAUUCCUCGUUAAGGAACUCGGCAAAAAAGCUAGGCGUAAGUUCGCAAUAUGCCUUCCCUGUCGUUCGCGCUUCACUAUUGUUUGGCACUCACUUGAUAAAAAUCUAAAAAUUUAAAAAUAUAAAAAUUUAAAACAAAUAUUUUUAGAUUUUUAAUUUUUUAAGUUUUUAACANNNNNNNNNNNNNNNNNNNNNNNNNACAGGUCCCUGCUAACUCGUAAGAGGAUGUAUAGGGGCUGACGCCUGUCCAGUGCUGGAACCUUAACCUCGGCGGUGCGUUCCGCUUUCGCGUCACGACCGCCUCAUAAAUCCUAAAUUCGAAAUCCUAAAUCCUAAACAAUAUUUAAAUCACAAUUUUCCAAAUUCCAAACACGAGUUUGGAACAUUUGAAUUUAGAAUCUGGAAUUUGUUUGGAAUUUAGACAUUAGAAUUUAAAAUUUUGAGGUUAGUCGCGGAGCGACAGCGGAGCGUGCUAACCGAGCGAAGGGCCAGUGAACGACCGCGGUAACUAUAAGCACACGGAUUGUAGUUGUAAAAUCUAACUAUAUGCGGGGAAAUCUGGUAAGUAUCUAGUGUUACUCAACUCCUUAAACGUCGGAGUAUAGUAAAAAUACACUAGUGCAGAUUAUCCGCAGGAAAGAUUCCUUAAGUUUCCUAAAACUAUGGAACAAUGGCUUAAACAAGUGCCGUCCGAAAUUGGUUAUUACCUAUCCGGUUUCGUAGAUGGCGAGGGGAGUUUUAAUCUCUCCGUACGCAAAGGCGAAGGAUACAGAUAUGGAUGGCAGCUUGGAUUGAGCUUCAACGUAUCCCAAAGGGAUAAUACGAAUCUCUUUCUCCUGAAAAGAUAUUUGGGAUGCGGGAGGCUGAAAACAAGAAAAGAUGGAGUACAUUCUUUCGUCGUUGAAAACUUCAACUCGCUGAAAGGACGAGUAAUUCCUUUCUUCAAAAGGUUUAAUUUUCUUUCUUCUCGGACAAAGACAAAUUUCUCAAUUUUUACAAAAAUUGUAAAAUUGAUGGACGAAAAGAAACAUUUAACAUCCGAAGGAUUAAAGGAAAUUCUUGAACUUCGAGAAAAGUUAAAUGAAGGACGAGGAAGAAAACAAAAAUACAAUUUAAAAGACGUUAAUCUAACUUAAGGAAAAUCCUCAGAGACUAUACGUUAGAACCCUGAUGAAUUUCAGGAUAUGAGAUAGUCCGAUCUCACGAGCGAUUGUGAGUAUCAGCAAAAGCUGAAAUAACAAAAUGAACCGUGUUAAAGUAGCGUAAUCCCUUGCCGUGUAAGUUACGGCCCGCAUGAAAGGCAUAACGACUGAGGAACUGUCUCAACGAGGAGCCCGAUGAAAAUGCAAUGGGGGUGAAGAUGCCCCCUUCCUGCGGCUAGACGAAAAGACCCCGGGAGCUUUACUAUAGCUUUUUAUUGUUUUAGUGUUUUGGAUGCGUAGUGUAGAUGGGAGGCGAUGAAUCCUCGCUUUCGGGCGGGGUGGAGCCGCCAAUGAAACACCAUCCUUUCAAAAUGCUAUGACUAACCGAGCACUCAGAUAUGCACUAUCUAACAAGAAAAAUGACAAGAAGAAGUUUUGGCAAAAAUAAUUGAUUGUGAUAGCGCAUAACUGAGUGCUCGGGACAGUGGAUGGCGGGUAGUUUAAGUGGGGCGCUUGCCUCCUAAAGAGUAGCGGAGGCGUUUAUAAGGUCGGCUAACUCCGGAUGGAAAUCGGAGUGAUAGGGUAAAGCUAUAAGCCGGCUUGACUGCAAGGCGUAUAUGCCGCGCAGAGAGGAAACUCGAACUUAGUGAACCGACGGAUUUUAAUAGAAAAUCCGAAGAUCAUCAGACAAAAGUUACCCCGGGGAUAACAGGCUAGUAGGGCCCGAGAGUCCUUAUCGACGGCCCUGUUCGGCACCUCGAUCAGUUAGCCGAUUGUCGAGGUUAAAUCGACUCAUAACGGAGAAAGCCAUAUAUAAACCCCAGCAAUAAUUUGAUAUAAUUUAUAUAUGGUCAACACCGUGGGAAGUUGCGAAAAUAAAUAUUGGAAUAAGAAAUGGAUCCCAAUUAAAAAAGCGCUUGCGUUAAAUUUAAAGCAAAAAGCGUUAAUUAUUGGGUCUCUUCUUGGUGAUGGAACAAUGCGCUUAGGUAAAGGCGCAAGGAAUGUUAACUUUAAAGCAGAACACGGAUUAAUGCAAAAAGAUUAUGUUAAGUGGAAGUAUCAGAUACUUAAACCAUUUGUAUUUACUGAACCAAAGAUAAGUUAUAGGUACAACGAAAACGGCGACAGAUAUGCAAAAUCCUGGUGGUUUAGAACGAUAAGACACCCCAUAUUUACGCAGAUUUAUAAAAAAUUCUACAAAGGAGAAAAACACAGGAAUGGAAGGAAGAUAGUUCCAUCAGAAAUAAAGGAAGAAAUAAAUCCUUUUGUAUUAGCUGUGUGGAUAAUGGAUGAUGGAUCAUACUCAAAAGGCAGAAUUGAUAUUAGCACUUAUUCAUUUUCGUUAAAAGAAAUAAAUACAUUGCAGGAACCUAUUAAGAAUGUUCUCGGUAUUAGGGCAAAUUAUUAUCGAGACCGCGACAAAGGAUUCAGAAUGUAUUUUAAUCAAGAAGAUACCAGGAAAUUAAUUAAGGUAAUUCAUCCAUACACCAUUCCUUCAAUGAUGUAUAAAAUAGGCUUUCGCAACCCCGUAACGACUGGAUUCCCGCUAUUUGCCAAAAAUACGGGAUGAAGAUAACAUUUUAUAAUGUUAUAAAACGUCGAUAUCUAGAUUGGAUAAUCUGGGUAAAGGUAUAGUCUAUUCUAUUAGUAAUAAUAGAUUCAGUGGUCGGCUCAGCGCAUCCUGGAGGUGGAGAAGCUUCCAAGGGUUGGGCUGUUCGCCCAUUAAAGCGUUACGCGAGCUGGGUUCAAACCGUCGUGAGACAGGUUGGACUCCUAUCUGCCGUAGGCGCCGAGUCUUGAGGAGAGUUCUGGGUAGUACGAGAGGACCCCCAGGAACUAACCUCUGGUCUACCAGUUGUCACGCCAGUGGCAUUGCUGGGUAGCUAAGUUGGGAAAGGAUAAGCACUGAAAGCAUAUAAGUGCGAAGCCUCCUUCAAGAUUAAGACUCAUAGAUUGGUUGAAGACUACGACCUUGAUAGGCUGCAGGUGUAAGCCCCGUAAGGGGUUUAGCCGAGCAGUACUAAUAAAUCAUC